rnacentral:rRNA from 1 species
UACGGAGGGUGCAAGCGUUAUCCGGAUUCACUGGGUUUAAAGGGUGCGUAGGCGGGCAGGUAAGUCAGUGGUGAAAUCUCCGGGCUUAACUCGGAAACUGCCGUUGAUACUAUCUGUCUUGAAUACCGUGGAGGUGAGCGGAAUAUGUCAUGUAGCGGUGAAAUGCUUAGAUAUGACAUAGAACACCAAUUGCGAAGGCAGCUCGCUACACGAAUAUUGACUCUGAGGCACGAAAGCGUGGGGAUCAAACAGG